rnacentral:rRNA from 1 species
GACGAACGCUGGCGGCGUGCCUAAUACAUGCAAGUUGAGCGCUGAAGGUUGGUACUUGUACCAACUGGAUGAGCAGCGAACGGGUGAGUAACGCGUGGGGAAUCUGCCUUUGAGCGGGGGACAACAUUUGGAAACGAAUGCUAAUACCGCAUAAAAACUUUAAACACAAGUUUUAAGUUUGAAAGAUGCAAUUGCAUCACUCAAAGAUGAUCCCGCGUUGUAUUAGCUAGUUGGUGAGGUAAAGGCUCACCAAGGCGAUGAUACAUAGCCGACCUGAGAGGGUGAUCGGCCAAAUUGGGACUGAGACACGGCCCCAAAUCCUACGGGAGGCAGCAGUAGGGAAUCUUCGGCAAUGGACGAAAGUCUGACCGAGCAACGCCGCGUGAGUGAAGAAGGUUUUCGGAUCGUAAAAAUCUGUUGGUAGAGAAGAACGUUGGUGAGAGUGGAAAGCUCAUCAAGUGACGGUAACUACCCAGAAAGGGACGGCUAACUACGUG